rnacentral:rRNA from 1 species
GAUCAUUAACAUGUUGAGCUAGCCUGGAAGAUUUAUAUAUGGUUACUACUCUCCAUGACCCUUUGUCUACCUUCUCUGUUGCUUCGGCAGGCCUCCGGCUCCGGCUGGGCAGCGCCUGUCAGAGGACCCCAACUCUGGAAUCACUGAUGUCUGAGCACUAUCUAAUAGUCAAAACUUUCAACAACGGAUCUCUUGGUUCUGGCAUCGAUGAAGAACGCAGCGAAAUGCGAUAAGUAAUGUGAAUUGCAGAAUUCAGUGAAUCAUCGAAUCUUUGAACGCACAUUGCGCCCUCUGGUAUUCCGGAGGGCAUGCCUGUUCGAGCGUCAUUACACCCCUCCAGCUCCGCUGGGUGUUGGGCCGGCCCCCGCGCGGGCCGGCCUGAAAAUCAGUGGCGGCACCGCCCGACCCCUCAGCGCAGUACUUCCAUUCUCGCUGCUGGGGCCCGGGCCACGGCCUGCCAGCAACCCCCACCUCACAAGGUUGACCUCGGAUCAGGUAGGGAUACCCGCUGAACUUAAGCAUAUCAAUAAGCGGAGGAAAAGAAACCAACAGGGAUUGCCUCAGUAACGGCGAGUGAAGCGGCAGCAGCUCAAAUUUGAAAGCUGGCUCCUUCUCGGGGCCCGCGUUGUAAUUUGUAGAGGAUGCUUCGGGCGCGGCGCCGGUCUAAGUUCUCUGGAACGAGACGUCACAGAGGGUGAGAAUCCCGUAUGCGACCGGUGGCCUGCGCCCAUGUGAAGCUCCUUCGACGAGUCGAGUUGUUUGGGAAUGCAGCUCUAAAUGGGUGGUACAUUUCAUCUAAAGCUAAAUAUUGGCCAGAGACCGAUAGCGCACAAGUAGAGUGAUCGAAAGAUGAAAAGCACUUUGGAAAGAGAGUUAAACAGUACGUGAAAUUGUUGAAAGGGAAGCGCUUGCAAUCAGACUUGGGCGGCGUUGAUCAGCCUGGGUUCUCCCAGGUGCACUCAGCGCCGCGCAGGCCAGCAUCAGUUCUGGCGGUGGGAUAAAGGCCUGGGGAAUGUAGGUCGCCUCGGCGACCGUUAUAGCCCCAGGUGCCAUGCCGCCUGCCGGGACUGAGGACCGC